rnacentral:lncRNA from 1 species
UGUUCUUGCUGGUGUGGUAUGUUCACGGCUGAAAAGAUGGUCAGAAGGGGAAAGGAGGAAGUGAGAAGAAAGAAACAGGGAAAUGAGUGUUGCUCAGUUACCCAGGCUGGAGUGCAAUGGCAUGAUCUUGGCUCACUGCAGCCUCCACCUCCUGGGUUCAAGCGGUUCUCGUGCCUCAGUCUCCCAAGUAGCUGGGAUUACAGGCUGGAGUGCGAUGGCAUGAUCUUGGCUCACGGCAAACUCCGCCUCCCUGGUUCAAGUGAUUCUCCUGCCUCAGCCUCCCGAGUAGCCGGGAUUACAGGCAUGUGCCACCAUGCCCCGUUGGCCAGGCUGGUCUCGAACACCUUACCUCAGGUGAUCCUCCCACCUUUGGGAUUACAGACCCUGCAUGUGAUGGAUCAGCUGACACCAUCCAGAUCGGUAAACUGGUUCAUCUGAUCUUGUGCCCUCCACCCAGGAACUGACUCAGCGCAAGAAGACAGCUUCGACUCCUUGUGAUUUCAUCCCUAACCAAUCAGCACUCCUGGCUCACUGGCUUCCCCCAACCCACCAAAUUGUCCUUAAAAACUCUGCUCUCCAAACGCUGGGGGAGACUGAUUUGAGUAAUAAUAAAACCCUGGUCUCC